rnacentral:rRNA from 1 species
AGCUCCAAUAGCGUAUAUUAAAGUUGUUGCGGUUAAAAGCUCGUAGUUGGAUUUCUGUCGAAGAAGGACGGUCCGCUCUUUGAGUGAGUAUCUGCACCGGCUUUGACUUUUGCGUGGGGAGCGCUUCUGUGCUUGGUUGCAUGGAGUGAUAUCCACGUCUUUUACUUUGAGGAAAUUAGAGUGCUCAUGGCAGGCCAGCGCCUUGAAUAUAUUAGCAUGGAAUAAUAAUAUAGGACCUUUGUUCUAUUUUGUUGGUUUCUAGAACGGAGGUAAUGAUUAAUAGGGAUAAUUGGGGGCAUCUGUAUUAACGCGUCAGAGGUGGAAUUCUUGGAUUGCGUUACGACAAACUACUGCGAAAGCAUUUGCCAAGGAUGUUUUCA